AUAUUUUGAUGAUUACAGGUUAGAAGAAUAUAUGUUAAUGAAUAAAAAUGAAAAAUAUGUGGUUUAGUAUUAGAAUUUUAGUAAAUUGGUAUUACUAAUAUUUUUAAUUUAAAUAAUUACAAAAACACAUCGGUUUUUCGGUUCUGUUCGGUUUUAAACCGAACCGAACUGAACCAUUUGGGUUAGAGAAAUCUUCAACCGAAUGGUUUGAAAUAAACUUUGUUUCGGUUCGUUGGUUCCGGUUCGUUGGUUCGGUUUGACUCGGUUCGGUUCGGUUUUUUUGCCCACCCCUAUAUAAAACGUUAAAUUACAAGAGGUCCAUAUGCAAUAAUAGCCGAUGUUUUUUUUUUAUUUUCUGACACAAAUGUCCCAUUUCAUUUGGGAACUAUUAUUAUUUUCAGAUUAUUUUUUUCAACCACAAUUUUUAAGAACUCGGUAAAGCAAUUUAAAAUAGAGAAAAACUGUAACAUAUCCGUUUAUUAAGAAGACUAUUACUGUUAAUUUAAUUAUUUUUGUUUAACCCGGAUAUCCCAAUUUUUCGAAAAGCCUAAAUUGUUUGUUUUUCAUUUUAUUUGUGUAUCAAACGUUCUGGCAUUGUGUUAUAUAACAUGUAUAUUUCUCACUGUGACUUUUUACCUUUUUAAUAUCUACUAACUAUUAUUUGAAGUUUUUUUUAAUUCAUUCCACUCCGCGCAAAGCACAGAUCAUCACCUAUUAUAUUAUAAUAUAUAACACUAAUCAUCAAAAACAAAAAUAUUAAUUUAUAAAAAGUAAAAAAUUAACACUCGCACGAACGUGUGGAUCAAUCUCUAGUAUAUAGAUCUAAAAUUAAGUGAUAAUAAACAUAUUUAAAAUAUUUUUUAUUAAAUAUAAUAUAUUUUUUUAUUUUCAUAAAAUGGCAUCUUUAAGUCUACUGAAUUUAUAUAAAAAUAUAAUUGAAAUUGUUAAACCAAAUUAAAAAAAUGAAAGUUAUAAAAUUACAAAAAUAUAUUUAGGUUUUUUCAAACCAAUAACUAAAAUUAUGAGUUAAACCAUCAUGAUUCCGGAUACUAAUCUUUCAACCACUACUAGAUUUUUUGUCCGCACGUAAUAAGCUUUCUUUUUGUAGUUGGAAAAUUUUACUUUUUUUUGCAACAACAAAAAUCUACAUUCUUUAGACAUUUAAUUAAGCUGCAUGCACAUUCAUGUACAUGUCCAUUUUAUUUACUACAGUGAAACAUUUAAAUAAAACUACUUGGCAGCCAUGAAUCAAGCAAGAUUCUCUGCUUAAUUUGCCAAGAAAACGUUAACACCAAAGGGCAUAAUACAUUUAAAACCAUAAACUGCAACUUAAAUACUCACAGGUGGGCUAAAGCUUAGUAGCUUUGAAGUUCUGGAUCUCUCCACGAACUCGCUAUAUGCCAUAUGGUGCUAAGGUCGUCGGCUGGGUUCUCUCAUGUAAAAUGUUUAGCCUUAGAGUUUAUACUUUGAAGGUUUCUGAUCGUUGCAUGAUUGAAGAAAAACAAUUAAAACUACAUUUUUAAUUCCGGUCCUAAAUUCUUUGAGGUGAAUCUAUCACUGACUUGACAUUAAAAAAAAUCCAUCACCGUCCUGAUUGACCUGACUCUGUACUAAAAAUAAGAGAGAGAUUUCUCUCCCGAUAACCUCUGUUCACAGACAUCUAUCUUUCACAGAGGAUCGAGAUUAUCUCUUUUGGUGUAAUAUAUUUCGAUCUUUGAUCGACUUCUCUUCCGGUUAAUCGGAUUUCUUUUUCGCGAUGGCGAUUUUUGUUGUGUUUUCAACCCAAAUCUGACAUGUUCUUCAUCUUCUUCUUCGUUUAUCAGUUUUGUGGUUGAAAUUAAUAAAUUCGCGUUGGCGAUAGUGUUCUUCUCCAAUCUCUUCUUUUGCAAAAAAAAAAUAGAAAAUCCCGUUUGCUUGUAUUGGAAUCUUUUUUCUCUAAGGAUAUGCACUCAAUCCUCUUUAGUGAGAGUCAAUCUUUACUUUCUAUGUGAAGCCAAUUGGCUUUUAGUAAAGUAUCUUUGCAGAGAGGAAGCGGUGGAGCUGGAUUGAUAUCAGUUGAUUUAACAGAGGUUUAGUGGAGCUGGCAUCUCCUUAUGGAUGAUGGUCCGGUAAAAGAUCUCCCGUUUGUCAACUGAACUAUCUCUAAAAUUAUCAUCUACGGAGGGAUGGAGCUUCCAUUAUACAUGUAUAGGCUGAAGCGAAAGCUGGAGGUAAAAGAGAUCCAUGAAUCCUAUGGUGUGGAGAAACAAGAGAUGUAAGAUUGAUCUUCAGAACCCCCGGCGGCGAAGAACUACGGCGGUUUUGUUUGCUAUUUCGCAUGACAGACACGUUUCAACACGUGUCUUGCGUUUCUUCUUCAUCUAGCACGUGGAUGGACAACAAUCACUAACCGAUCUUCACCUUGGGCCUUUAGAUAUUGAGUUUCUCUUUGUAUUUAUGUUAUUGGAUCUCAUUUUGUAACGUACAAGCCUUGUCACAUGCCCUUUGGGCUUAAUCAAUUGAAUACUGUUGACAAAAAAAAAAGACUCUGUACUAAAAAUAAAUAAAAAGUAAGUCGUGUUGGUUCCAUUCAAGAA